UGACGAGUGGCGGACGGGUGAGUAAUGUCUGGGAAACUGCCUGAUGGAGGGGGAUAACUACUGGAAACGGUAGCUAAUACCGCAUAACGUCGCAAGACCAAAGAGGGGGACCUUCGGGCCUCUUGCCAUCGGAUGUGCCCAGAUGGGAUUAGCUUGUNNGUGGGGUAACGGCUCACCAAGGCGACGAUCCCUAGCUGGUCUGAGAGGAUGACCAGCCACACUGGAACUGAGACACGGUCCAGACUCCUACGGGAGGCAGCAGUGGGGAAUAUUGCACAAUGGGCGCAAGCCUGAUGCAGCCAUGCCGCGUGUAUGAAGAAGGCCUUCGGGUUGUAAAGUACUUUCAGCGGGGAGGAAGGGAGUAAAGUUAAUACCUUUGCUCAUUGACGUUACCCACAAAAGAAGCACCGGCUAACUCCGUGCCAGGAGCCGCGAUAAUACGGAGGGUGCAAGCGUUAAUCGGAAUUACUGG
rnacentral:rRNA from 1 species